CCCCUAGAUGUUCUGGGCCGCACGCGCGCUACACUGAACAGUUCAACAAGUCUUAACCUUGGCCGAUAGGUCUGGGUAAUCUUUGAACGCUGUUCGUGAUUGGGAUAGACCUUUGCAAUUAUGGUCUUCAACGAGGAAUUCCUAGUAAACGCAAGUCAUCAGCUUGCAUUGAUUACGUCCCUGCCCUUUGUACACACCGCCCGUCGCACCUACCGAUUGAAUGGUCCGGUGAAAUCUCGGGACGGCGGCUUGGUCGCUUGCGUCCGACUGCUGAAACUUGAUUAAACCAUAUCAUUUAGAGGAAGGUGAAGUCGUAACA
rnacentral:rRNA from 1 species